rnacentral:rRNA from 1 species
AGUCGCCGCGGUAAUACGUAGGUGGCGAGCGUUGUCCGGAUUUAUUGGGCGUAAAGGGAGUGUAGGCGGUCUUUUAAGCCUGAUGUGAAAGCCCACGGCUCAACCGUGGAGGGUCAUUGGAAACUGGGAGACUUGAGUGCAGAAGAGGAGAGCGGAAUUCCAUGUGUAGCGGUGAAAUGCGUAGAUAUAUGGAGGAACACCAGUGGCGAAGGCGGCUCUCUGGUCUGUAACUGACGCUGGGGCUCGAAAGCGUGGGGAGCAAACAGGAUUAGAUACCCCAGUAGUCCCUGUCUCUUAUACA